rnacentral:rRNA from 1 species
GUCAGCAACAUAUCACUCUGCAACUCACAACUGGCAACCCACUGAAGCUAAGCAGGUGUGAGCCUGGUCAUUACCUGGAUGGGAGACCUCCUGGGAAAAACUAAGGUUGCUGCUGGAA